rfam:Dipodomys ordii contig_50084, whole genome shotgun sequence.
GGGAAGGUGGCUCAGUGGUAGAGCGCUUGCCUUGCAUGCAUGAGGCCCUGGGUUCG